rnacentral:lncRNA from 1 species
AUGUAUAUUUUGUGUUGUUUUUUGUAGAAAAAUAUUUUGGCGACAAUUUAAUCCCCGCUCCCUGUACAUAAAAUUUGUUAAAAUAUUCCAAAAAAUUAAGAUUUGAUGGAGAUAAUUGACUAUUUUUGAUGUAGCUUUUCUUCUGAUUUCAGUCAUGACACUAUUUUAAAUUUUUAUUCGUGAAGAACGAAGUAAUUUUAUUUUUUCGAUAGAAAAUAAUUAUAUUUAAUUCAAUGAUUGUUUUUUCCUGGUUAUGUAGCAUGUCUAAUGUUCAUUUUUUUUUUUUUCACAUUAUGAGAAAAAAAGAAGAAUAAAAAGAAAAAGGAGUUAAGAAAGAGAAAAAUUACUUAUCGUUAAUUUAGAAAUAGAAAUAAACAACUAGAGCUUGGAUGAAGCAUUUGAACUCCCAUUGACUUAUGAAUUAGAAAAAGAUACUAAAGAAUGUGGAUUUCAUUGACAUUGAUCAGCAACACGGUAUGCACAUCGAAUAUUCCUUUGUCCAACUACAGGAAUGUCAUGUAUCACUAGAUAUAUAUUAAUAUAUUUGUGAUAAUGGAAAUGUCAGGAUCAGCAAUAAUGUUCCCUUCUGCAUAUCAGCACUUUCUACCUAGAUACAGUUAACAUCAAAAAAUAAUGUAAUGUUAGGAAAUUACUUUAUUUUUCAACAUAGAAGUAAAAGUUUCAAUUUGUAUGCAAAAAUAUGUAUAUAUAUACAUAUAUAUUGGACAUCCAUUGUACUAACAACAGCCAUUAUUCCUAUAAGAUAUUCAAGGCCCUCGACAGUCAUCCUGCCUCAAGGAUGCACGGGAAAAACAAAAAAUAACUUUACCCAACAACAGAAAACUAUGACAUAGAUGUACCAACCGAUAUCAUUCCAUUAAUAAUAAAAAGUUACUUGCUGAAAAAAAUUCCAAUAAUAGAUAAGUUCUUGAAUGAGACAAAUUAAUAAUUUUAAGCUAUAUUGAAGAUUUUAAAGGCAAAAAUGAUAUAAAGAAUUACUUAAACGACAAUAUCAAUAUUUAACCAUCAUUAGCAUCAUGAUUAUUUGUUUUAUGUGUCUACUGGGUGCAUUCAAGGUGUUUAUUUCGAUAUCAAAGACAUAAAUUUAAAAAAUAUGCCAAAUUAUAUUAUUUAAGAACAGUAAUUCUAGUUCAUCAAUCAAUAAAGAAACUUUAUUUAUAGAAUAAA